UACAGAGGUCUCGAGCGUUAGGCGGAAUCACUGGGCUUAAAGCGUGUGUAGGUGGAUGCCUAAGUACCUUGUGAAAUCCCACAGCUUAACUGUGGAACUGCUUGGUAUACUGGGUGUCUUGAGUCACUCAGGGGCGAGCGGAACAAAUGGUGGAGCGGUGAAAUGCGUAGAUAUCAUUUGGAACGCCAAUGGUGAAAACAGCUCGCUGGGGGUGCACUGACACUGAGACACGAAAGCCAGGGGAGCAAACGGG
rnacentral:rRNA from 1 species